ensembl:lncRNA
GAAGAUACUGCCAUGUCCUGCCAGCACGCCCACAAGCGAGCCACUCAGGAGCAGAAUGAUGACGUUUGGAAGAGGGAAUGGAAUGAGAUGGGAAAAGUAAUUUGUUUCUCUCUCUUCCCCUAGAUUUUCCCUGACAAACUGGCAACAAGGAUAGGCUGCUAACUCUGCUUGCUGAUUGCUCCCGAGGAGACUGAGGUUACCUGUGGGCAGGGUUGCAUUAGACGUGGCUCAGGGAGCCCACACUCCGACUAAAAUGGAUCAGAAAAGGACCUGCCUUGGACCGGCUGGGAGCGUCAGUGAGUGGAUACGCCAUUCCGGACAGACAAAAUAAAUUAAGGGACAAUAACCCAACCUACCUACAAGCUGUGUAAGGGCUAUUUGACCAAGAAGGAGAAUGAUGGAGUGCUGCAUCAGAUGACCUGGCCUCCAUAAUCACCCGACCUCAACC